rnacentral:rRNA from 1 species
UGAGUAAUACGUCGGAACGUGUCUUCUAGUGGGGGAUAACUGCCCGAAAGGGCAGCUAAUACCGCAUGAGACCUGAGGGUGAAAGCGGGGGAUCGCAAGACCUCGCGCUGGAAGAGCGGCCGAUGUCCGAUUAGCUAGUUGGUGAGGUAAAGGCUCACCAAGGCGACGAUCGGUAGCUGGUCUGAGAGGACGACCAGCCACACUGGGACUGAGACACGGCCCAG